AUUGAACGCUGGCGGCAGGCCUAACACAUGCAAGUCGAGCGGAGCGGCGGACGGGUGCGUAAUGCCUAGGACUCUGCCUGGUCGUGGGGGAGAACGUCCGGAAACGGGCGCUAAUACCGAAUACUAUCACAUGAACCUAGGCCGGAUUAGCUAGUUGGUGGGGUAACGGCCUACCAAGGCGACGAUCCGUAACUGGUCUGAGAGGAUGAGCAGUCACACUGGAACUGAGACACGGUCCAGACUCCUACGGGAGGCAGCAGUGGGGAAUAUUGGACAAUGGGCGAAAGCCUGAUGCAGCCAUGCCGCGUGUAUGAAGAAGGUCUUCGGGUUGUAAAGCACUUUAAGUUGGGAGGCGUUACCAACAGAAUAAGCACCGGCUAACUCCGUGCCAGCAGCCGCGGUAAUAC
rnacentral:rRNA from 1 species